CAAAAAAAAACAAUUUCCUAAAAUUACAUAUCCAUAUUACGAAUUCCUUAAUAAACAUAUAUUUGUGUGAAUAUGUAGAGAAGACCUAAAAAAUAUCACUUACCAAAGACCAUUCCAUAUAGAGAUUACAUAAAUAACUUAUUCAGAACCCAGAAAUGUGCAGAGUUGGAUUGUAGGAACUCAGUUCUUUGAGCAGAAAUUUGGAACCCUACUUCUAACAAAUUUGUUGGCUCAUAGUAAUAAUCCAAGCAUAUCAAUCGAUAAAAUUGAUAAAAGCCUUUCUUUAUGAUCCCUUCUUAUGAGAAUCAUGAAUAACAGCUUUGUUUUAUCCUCCCGCUCCUCAAAAGCCCACGGGAAUGGAUUUGAUGAUCCCACAUCCAUAGAUCUAGAAGAGACUAGAUCAAAGUCUAUCUAGAUUCUUUGGUAUGUACAGGUUCUUCUUCUUUAGUUGAUGAUCCUUCAGGUUGCCAUUAGGAGAUUACUUUAGCCUACUGAAACUAUUUGAUUUUCCAAGUUUUUGAUAGAUGCAUGUUGAAUCUAGAAGAUCGUCUCAAUCAUCUGCACGAAUUGAGACGUAGUAUUUGAUAGUCCAAUUAAAGCUUCUUUCAGUGUGUUCAUCGUUUGACUCCCAUCCUUUUCAUGGUGAAAAUAUC
rnacentral:lncRNA from 1 species